rnacentral:rRNA from 1 species
UUGCAUGCCUCAGUAGCGGCGAGUGAAGCGGCAAGAGCUCAGAUUUGAAAUCGUGCUUUGCGGCACGAGUUGUAGAUUGCAGGUUGGAGUCUGUGUGGAAGGCGGUGUCCAAGUCCCUUGGAACAGGGCGCCCAGGAGGGUGAGAGCCCCGUGGGAUGCCGGCGGAAGCAUGAGGCCCUUCUGACGAGUCGAGUUGUUUGGGAAUA